rnacentral:rRNA from 1 species
UACGGGGGGGAGCAAGCGUUGUUCGGAUUUACUGGGCGUAAAGGGCGCGUAGGCGGCCACUGCAAGUCAGUUGUGAAAUCUCCGGGCUUAACCCGGAAAGGUCAACUGAUACUGCAGGGCUAGAGUACAGAAGGGGCAACUGGAAUUCUCGGUGUAGCGGUGAAAUGCGUAGAUAUCGAGAGGAACACCUGCGGCGAAGGCGGGUUGCUGGGCUGAUACUGACGCUGAGGCGCGAAAGCCAGGGGAGCGAACGGG